GGCGGGUUCAGCAACUAACUUAUGUAUAUGUAAAAAUUUUGCGCAGCCCGUCAUUUGGUCCGCCUCUCUUUUCUUCUUCGAAAGAAUUUUUUUUUGCAGUAGUUCUCUUCUCCGAAAGAACGUCAACGUAUACUUUUAUUUCUCCAUUCAUGUUUACAGUUCAUAUCCAAAUGAACUAAAGAAAGAGAAGUAUUGGUGGUGCAGUGGUACGGGUGCCCUAUACGAGCUUAGCUACUUUACCAGGUGGAGACGCUCACUCUCACUUUCUCUCCUACGGCCACACCACUCGGGACUCUGCUGAAUAAUCUUAUUGGAUAGAGUCUCCCAAUAACAAACUGGGAUUUCAAGGGUUGGAGAAAAUUCUCCCUCUUUUUGGCUUCUGAGAAAUUUUAAGAGAAUUUGAAGUUGGAAGUUUCACGAUUAUGAACCCCAAUUUCGACUUGUAAUGAUUUUUUAAAUUGUGUUAACAUUUUCUCGAGUGCCAUCUAUCUAGCUCCCAAACUAUAUAAUUUGGUUUCUUUAUUCGGACUUGAAAAAUGCGAUUUCACUAUUUUAUUAGUGUAUUUCUUUGGUCAAUACGUUUGAGCAGAUUUCUAUGUAGUCUUUUAUUUCUGGUUAAAUGUAGUUUGAUAUGA